rnacentral:rRNA from 1 species
GCACGGAGUUAGCCGGAGCUUACAAACAGUACCGUCAUCAUAAGAGAUGUUAGCUCUUACUUAUUCUUCCCGUUCUUGCGAAGUUUACAUCCCGAGGGAUUUCAUCCUUCACGCGGCGUUGCUGGGUCAGGCUUUCGCCCAUUGCCCAAAAUUCCCGACUGCUGCCUCCCGUAGGAGUCUGACCCGUAUGUCAGUGUCAGUGUGGCCGACCGCCCUCUCAGGCCGGCUACAGAUCAUCGCCUUGGUAAGCCUUUACCUUACCAACUAGCUAAUCUGCCGCAGGCUCCUCUUCAGACGCGAGGUCUUACGAUCCCCCGCUUUAACAACUGUCACCAUUAGGUGCCGCUGCAUUAUGCGGUAUUAGCAACCGUUUCCGGUUGUUAUUCCCCAUCCAAAGGUAGAUUACCUACGUGUUACUCACCCGUGCGCCACUCUACUUGCCCCCCGAAGGGGGCUUUCGCGUUCGACUUGCAUGUCUGAGGCACGCCGCCAGCGUUGAUU